rnacentral:tRNA from 1 species
GGUCCCAUAGCUCAGACGGAUAGAGCGGUCGCCUCCUAAGUGACAGGUCACAGGUUCGACUCCUGUUGGGAUCGCCA